rnacentral:rRNA from 1 species
CUUGGGAACUGCAUCCGAUACUGGAUAUCUAGAGUAUGGUAGAGGGAAGUGGAAUUUCCGGUGUAGCGGUGAAAUGCGUAGAUAUCGGAAGGAACAUCAGUGGCGAAGGCGACUUCCUGGACCAAUACUGACACUGAGACGCGAAAGCGUGGGGAGCAAACAGGAUUAGAGACCCUGGUAGUCCACGCCGUCAACGAUGAGAACUAGCUGUUGGGACCUUGAGUCUUAGUAGCGCAGCUAACGCGUUAAGUUCUCCGCCUGGGGAGUACGGCCGCAAGGUUAAAACUCAAAGGAAUUGACGGGGGCCCGCACAAGCGGUGGAGCAUGUGGUUUAAUUCGAUGCAACGCGAAGAACCUUACCUACUCUUGACAUCCUUGGAAUUCUUUAGAGAUAAAGAAGUGCCUUCGGGAACCAAGUGACAGGUGCUGCAUGGCUGUCGUCAGCUCGUGUCGUGAGAUGUUGGGUUAAGUCCCGUAACGAGCACAACCCUCACCCUUAGUUGCCAUCAGUUCGGCUGGGAACUCUAAGGGGACUGCCGGUGAUAAACCGGAGGAAGGUGGGGAUGAUGUCAAGUCAUCAUGGCCCUUACGAGUAGGGCUACACACGUGCUACAAUGGGCAGUACAAAGGGUUGCUAAGCCGCGAGGUGGAGCUAAUCCCAUAAAGCUGCUCUUAGUCCGGAUUGGAGUCUGCAACUCGACUCCAUGAAGUUGGAAUCGCUAGUAAUCGCGAAUCAGAAUGUCGCGGUGAAUACGUUCCCGGGCCUUGUACACACCGCCCGUCACACCACGGGAGUGGGUUGUACCAGAAGCGGGUAGGCUAACCUUCGGGAGGCCGCUCACCACGGUAUGAUUCAUGACUGGGGUGAAGUCGUAACAAGGUAACC